AUUGAACGCUGGCGGCAGGCCUAACACAUGCAAGUCGAGCGAGCGGCGGACGGGUGAGUAAUGUAUGGGGAUCUGCCUGAUGGAGGGGGAUAACUACUGGAAACGGUAGCUAAUACCGCAUACCAUCAGAUGAACCCAUAUGGGUUUAGCUUGUAGGUGGGGUAACGGCUCACCUAGGCGACGAUCCCUCGCUGGUCUGAGAGGAUGAUCAGCAACACUGGGACUGAGACACGGCCCAGACUCCUACGGGAGGCAGCAGUGGGGAAUAUUGCACAAGGGGCGAAAUCCUGAGACAGCCAUGCCGCGUGUAUGAAGAAGGCUUUCGGGUUGUAAAGUACUUUCAGCGGGGAGGCGGUACCCGCAGAAGAAGCACCGGCUAACUCCGUGCCAGCCGCCGCGGUAAUAC
rnacentral:rRNA from 1 species